GUUGGUGAUUAGAGCCGUGAGGGUACACCCGGUCCCAUCCCGAACCCGGCAGUUAAGCUCACGAGCGCGGAUGGUACUGUCGCGGUAGCGCGAUGGGAGAGUACGCCGUUGCCAACC
rnacentral:rRNA from 1 species